GAUGAACGCUGGCGGCGUGCCUAAUACAUGCAAGUCGAGCGGAUGGAUUAAGAGCUUGCUCUUAUGAAGUUAGCGGCGGACGGGUGAGUAACACGUGGGUAACCUGCCCAUAAGACUGGGAUAACUCCGGGAAACCGGGGCUAAUACCGGAUAACAUUUUGAACCGCAUGGUUCGAAAUUGAAAGGCGGCUUCGGCUGUCACUUAUGGAUGGACCCGCGUCGCAUUAGCUAGUUGGUGAGGUAACGGCUCACCAAGGCAACGAUGCGUAGCCGGCCUGAGAGGGUGAUCGGCAACACUGGGACUGAGACACGGCCCAGACUCCUACGGGAGGCAGCAGUAGGGAAUCUUCCGCAAUGGACGAAAGUCUGACGGAGCAACGCCGCGUGAGUGAUGAAGGCUUUCGGGUCGUAAAACUCUGUUGUUAGGGAAGAACAAGUGCUAGUUGAAUAAGCUGGCACCUUGACGGUACCUAACCAGAAAGCCACGGCUAACUACGUGCCAGCAGCAGCCGUAA
rnacentral:rRNA from 1 species